AGCAGCCGCGGUAAUUCCAGCUCCAAUAGCGUAUAUUAAAGUUGUUGCAGUUAAAAAGCUCGUAGUUGAAUUUCGGGAUUGACGUGAUGGUCGUGCCUUACGGGGUAUGAACUGUCGCAGUUGAUUUCUCACCUUCUGGAGAAGCUCGAUGUCCUUAAUUGGGUGUCUUGCGGAACCAGGACCUUUACCUUGAAAAAAUUAGAGUGUUUAAAGCAGGCAUUUUGCUCGAAUACAUUAGCAUGGAAUAAUAGAAUAGGACGGCAUGGUUCUAUUUUGUUGGUUUCUAGGAUCACCGUAAUGAUUAAUAGGGAUAGUUGGGGGCAUUAGUAUUCAAUUGUCAGAGGUGAAAUUCUUGGAUUUAUUGAAGACUAACUACUGCGAAAGCAUUUGCCAAGGAUGUUUUCAUUAAUCAAGAACGAAAGUUAGGGGAUCGAAGACGAUCAGAUACCGUCGUAGUCUUAACCAUAAACUAUGCCGA
rnacentral:rRNA from 1 species